GAUGAACGCUGGCGGCGUGCCUAAUACAUGCAAGUCGAGCGAAUGGAUUAAGAGCUUGCUCUUAUGAAGUUAGCGGCGGACGGGUGAGUAACACGUGGGUAACCUGCCCAUAAGACUGGGAUAACUCCGGGAAACCGGGGCUAAUACCGGAUAACAUUUUGAACCGCAUGGUUCGAAAUUGAAAGGCGGCUUCGGCUGUCACUUAUGGAUGGACCCGCGUCGCAUUAGCUAGUUGGUGAGGUAACGGCUCACCAAGGCAACGAUGCGUAGCCGACCUGGUAGGGUGAUCGGCCACACUGGGACUGAGACACGGCCCAGACUCCUACGGGAGGCAGCAGUAGGGAAUCUUCCGCAAUGGACGAAAGUCUGACGGAGCAACGCCGCGUGAGUGAUGAAGGCUUUCGGGUCGUAAAACUCUGUUGUUAGGGAAGAACAAGUGCUAGUUGAAUAAGCAGGCACCUUGACGGUACCUAACCAGAAAGCCACGGCUAACUACGUGCCAGCCGCCGCCGUAA
rnacentral:rRNA from 1 species